rnacentral:rRNA from 1 species
CCUACGGGAGGCAGCAGUGGGGAAUUUUGCGCAAUGGGGGAAACCCUGACGCAGCAACGCCGCGUGCGGGACGACGGCCUUCGGGUUGUAAACCGCUUUCAGCAGGGAAGAAAUUCGACGGUACCUGCAGAAGAAGCCCCGGCUAACUACGUGCCAGCAGCCGCGGUAAUACGUAGGGGGCGAGCGUUAUCCGGAUUCAUUGGGCGUAAAGCGCGCGUAGGCGGCCCGGCAGGCCGGGGGUCGAAGCGGGGGGCUCAACCCCCCGAAGCCCCCGGAACCUCCGCGGCUUGGGUCCGGUAGGGGAGGGUGGAACACCCGGUGUAGCGGUGGAAUGCGCAGAUAUCGGGUGGAACACCGGUGGCGAAGGCGGCCCUCUGGGCCGAGACCGACGCUGAGGCGCGAAAGCUGGGGGAGCGAACAGGAUUAGAUACCCCUGUAGUC